UCAACUUGCUGCUCCUUCCCUUUUUUCAAUUUCAUCGGGUGCGCGACCAGCGCUCCCGAUGGGAGUAGCCCCUGAGACUACAGCCAAGUGUUUGCACUUGGUUGUAGGCUCAACCUUUGUUAUUUUUCACCAACCCUGUAUUUUUUCCUUUUCGACUUGUCCUCUUAUCAGAAGUAUGAACAAUACUUCUGAUAAGAGUAGCCCCCGAGCCUUUGAACAAAUGCUUGUAUUUGAUCAUAGGCUUCCCAAGUUUCCCUGUUGGAACACUCGAGAUUUUCCACUCGAAGCACUCGAGUUUCCUGUUGCUAUAUUGGAGAGAAGUACUCGAAGUUUUCUUUUGGAAUGACAUCACUUCUGACGAUAGCCACGAUUGCCUCCUUGGGAAACCACGGCUCCUGUCAUUUCACUGGAACGUGGGUCCAAAGUUCUGCACCAUCGACACAUUGCGCAGGUGGGGGACACACGUCCUCCAUAAUUUCCGGCACGCGCGCAGUAACUCCAACCAGUAACUUUGGGGUGAAAAGACCAAUUUACCCCUAGGAUACGUGUAGGGCUAAAAAUGCUUCCCCCUUUUCAUCCAAUGGCGUGGCGGCUCAGCUCCUCGCUAUAAAUUCACCGCUUCUUCCUCAUUCUUCCCCUUCGCAGUGCUGCACAUCUAUUCCCUUUCUCUCACUCCACCAUUGCCAGCUUCGAGCUCUUCGCGCUCUUGCUCUCUUUCACACCGCUGCUCCACCAAAGUGCUCCCCCAUGCCUCCGCGCACGAAGCUGAUGAGGCACACGGCUCCAGGCACCAAUGCCCCGAUGGACAAAGCUAAGGUCUCUGGAUGGGAAUGAUCCAAGAUCUCCAACCAAGAUCAGAGGAUGCUCAAGAAGCUUGGCCUGCUGAAGAACUAGGAUUCGGUGAUCUUUCCUGGCGACGAAAGCUUCCCGCGUCCUCCUAUCGGAUAUCGGGUAACAUUCAUUGACCAUCUCAUUCGCGGCCUCUGCACCCCUAUCCAUGAAUUCCUUUGUGGUCUUCUCUUUAUCUACGGGAUCCAGCUACACCAGCUGACCCCAAACUCCAUCCUCCACAUCUCCAUUUUUAUUACUUUGUGUGAGUGUUUCCUCGGCACCCAUCCUCAUUGGGGCAUGUGGAAACGCAUUUUUUACCUCCGGCGCAACAACUCUCGAAACAUCAUCUACAAUGUGGGCGGUGUUUGCAUCUGCGUCUGACCCGAUGUUGAUUACUUCGACGUCAAAUUCCCCGACUCCGUCAAAGGGUGGCACAAAAAAUGGUUGUACAUCCAGGACGAGUACGAGACCUCCCAGGAGUAUGGCAUCGCGCCAUUUGAGGCUGCCGAAGAAAUUCACAGGCGCCAAUCCUGGGACACAGAGGCCACUACCGAAGAAAAAGCGGCCACUGAAGCCUUGAUGAAGCGCAUCCACCAGCUCCAGAACACCAACGGAGAGGAACUCUCGGGUGUUCAGAUAACUGCCUACUUCCUUAGAAUCCGGGUGCAGCCACUGCAGGCUCGCAAAAACCCUCUUUGGAUGUACUCCGGAGCCAAAGAUGUCGAUCGCUUGUCCAAGGAUCUCUCUGUGAAGGACUUGGAGAGGCUCAUCCGACGUUUUACCUCCCUGAGCAAGAAGCAUGAGGUUCCAUCAUCUUGCCGCGUGGAGCCAUACAGUGCCUCCCACGCUCUUCCCCAAGUAAGUACUUUGUUUAGUGUAAACUAUUCGUGUUUUUUGUCAGCUGCUCCUACUUUUCUCGAGUUCUUAGUUGCUUGUCUUCUCUUGCUUGACUUUAUAUUGUGCAGAACCACCAAAUUCUCUUUUCUCUUCCCCCUCUACCUGAAGGUGGAGAAGUAGAUGGGCGAGUCGUUAUCACCGACGAUUUGCCCGAAUCUUUUCUUCCCGUGAGUGAAACUGUGGUAUCUCAAAAAUCCGCGGCUUCCUCCGAAAAAGACUCUGGGUCAGACCAACCAUCUGAGUCGAGCCACUCCAUCUCCCCUCCUCUUGCUACUUCUCCUGGUCACAAGAGGAAAAGGAACGAAGUCGAAGAUUCCAGCGCCUCCAAGCCUACGGAGCCGGCUGCCGAAGAAUCCUCUCCAGAAGAGGAGGGUGCCUUCGACCCCUUUGACAAUGCUGGCUCUGUUAGCUCGUGAGUCCCUUUAAUUCUAUGUUUUUAUCCAACUCUUUUUCCUUUGGAAUGCUUAUUGUCCUGUGUUUAGCAGCUCUGAAGAGGAAAUGAGGAAGGAAGAACCCACGAUUCAUGGCACGGCUCCUACGAGCACGUCCAAUACUAUGGUUCUUUCCGAAGAACACCGCACUGCUGCAGAAUCUUCGCCUCCCCCUCAACAGAACAUGGAGACGUCGACUCCGUUAGCCAGCCCCCGAGCACCUGCUUCGAAGAAAGCAAAGACUGGGGCUAGCGACACUCUUGAGAUUGUCGCGGGAAGUUUGUCGACUCCGUUGUUGGACGACCCUCUGAUGAAGCAUCUCUUCAGCAUUGGCUCCUAAUUUAUUGGGUUCCGUGAUGAAGCCGACGCUUUAAAAGAUGCGCUUCGCCGCGCCGAAGAACGCGCUGAUGCUCUUGCAGUUAAGCUAGAGCUCAGCGAGAAGGCGCGCGAAAAAGCUGAAGCAGAUGCCGCAGCUGUUGAGGAUCUCCGCCAGCGACUCCAAAAUGCUGAGAAUGCUUUGAGCGACAAAGUUGCUCAACAGAUCGAGCGUGAAAACGCCAUAGCAGAUCGGUUAGAUACCCAUAAUCGGAGAUUCGUUAGUAAGUUUUUUCUCCUUCACCUGUCACUGUGUUUAUCUUGAUUUGCUUCUCCGAAUAUUGAUGGACUUCUAUUUUUCUCCAGCAGGACGGAUGGGUGAAGAAUUUACACUGCAUGAAGAGGUUGAGGAUCGUCUUCUCGACACUCUUUCAAUUCUUGAGUUGAAUGGCGACUUGGCGCGCACCAAUAUCUCCCAUGCUCGGACCGCGUUCAAGCGCAUCUUUCCCCAUUUCUUUCCCAAGCAGACGCGGCCGGAAAUUUUUUCUGAGCUUGUCCAACGUUUCUUGGGUGAGGAAGAUCCUGCCUUGGCCCAUCGCCAGGAUAGCCUGAAGAUCGGAGUCGAGGGAACCAUCGCCUUGGUUGCCGAUAGCGGACAAGAUGUCGACUGGGCUAAGGCCAGCAGCCCCAAGGGGUUGAACAAGGAGAAGUGGAAGGCUUUGGUGAAGGACGCCAAACCUCACUCGAAGAAGAUCCUGGCCUUCCUAAACCCGAAGUCUGCUGCAUCUACCAGCACUGCCAGGACGGAGGUCAAGUAGACCAACUUGUCCCUAUGUUUCCCUUUCUUUUGUAAUUGUCACCCUUUUUUAUGAAUUGCGACAAUUCGUAUCGACUCACUAGGAGUCGACUUUUGUAAUGAUCAUGUAAAUAUCCUGAUUAUGAAUGAAAAAGUGUCUGUUGCCGAAUGAUUGAUGUCGAUAUUUCUCUUUUCCAGUUGGUUUAUGAUAAUUAUACUGGGGCUGCUGGGCCUUUCAA